UACGUAGGUGGCAAGCGUUAUCCGGAUUUAUUGGGCGUAAAGGGAACGCAGGCGGUCUUUUAAGUCUGAUGUGAAAGCCUUCGGCUUAACCGGAGUAGUGCAUUGGAAACUGGGAGACUUGAGUGCAGAAGAGGAGAGUGGAACUCCAUGUGUAGCGGUGAGAUGCGUAGAUAUAUGGAAGAACACCAGUGGCGAAAGCGGCUCUCUGGUCUGUAACUGACGCUGAGGCUCGAAAGCGUGGGGAGCAAACAGG
rnacentral:rRNA from 1 species